rnacentral:rRNA from 1 species
AUUCCAGCUCCAAUAGCGUAUAUUUAAGUUGCUGCAGUUAAAAAGCUCGUAGUUGGAUUUCGGGUGGGAAUGGCCGGUCCGCCGUUUCGGUGUGCACUUGCUAGUCCCACCUUGCUGCCGGGGACGUGCUCUUGGGUUUCGGCUCGGGACACGGAGUCGGCGAGGUUACUUUGAGUAAAUUAGAGUGUUCAAAGCAGGCCUACGCUCUGAAUACAUUAGCAUGGAAUAACACGAUAGGACUCUGGCCUAUCUUGUUGGUCUGUAGGACCGGAGUAAUGAUUAAUAGGGACAGUCGGGGGCAUUUGUAUUCAAACGACAGGGGUGAAAUUCUUGGACCGUUUGAAGACAAACUACUGCGAAAGCAUUUGCCAAGAAUGUUUUCAUCA